UCUUGCCUGUUUUAUUUUUGAUUGACCGCCCGAUAUCAGCCAACAUAUUUCGCUGGGAUUGUGAUAGUUCUUUGUUUUCAUCAGGAAACUACCAGCGGCUGUGGCGACACUCUGAGGAGAAUUUAUUCAUUAGAUUUUGAAGUGUGCCUAAAAAGUCUUAUUAUUGAAUUGCAACAACUAACGUUGUAUUCGUUUUUAUCCUACAUGUUUGUCUUUGUUUGGAUCUUCACUCUUGGGUAUUGCUUGGAUCUCUGACAAAUUUACUCUGAGGUUGGCUAGUAUCUCAAAGGUAUUCAUCAUUGUGAUUUGCAUUAAUCUGAGAGAUUUAGUCCAUGCCACUAAAACCAAAAAUUAAACAAAGUCAGCUUCCAUAUAAGAGAGUCUAAGAUAGCCAUCAUGUCAAUCGCAACACUUCACACUUGUGAGUAGAGGGUGACGAGCGGGAAUUCCCGGGAAAAAUUUCCCGGGAAAUCGACCAUUUUUGGACCUCUCGAUUCCCGGGAAAUUUGGUCGAGAGUCCCGGGAAAUUUUGUACUUAUAAAAAUCGAAGCAAAAUGUUAUAAACUAAUCAGAACAUCAUUUGACAAAUUUCAAAUGGUUUAGAACAUUGGAUGUUAACUUGUCGUACGUUCCAAUAACUAUAAUCGAGAGAAGCCCAAUAAAUGUGGACUCCAAAAUUUACCAUAAAGCAAACUUAGCGGUUACAUCCCAGAAAUAAAAUAGAUUUUUUUUAUUAUUUGUAAUAAGGAUAACCCUUUUCAAAAUGUUCAAUUUCCAUAUACUCUCUCAAGCAUAGCAAUUUCAUUGUUGAUGGCAAUAAGUCAUUUUGUGUUUCGCAUCAACCUCAAUAUUACACGCAAAAUCCAGAUAACACAGAUCUGUGUUAAAAAAUUACACAGGUUGUGGAACAGUUCCGGCUUUCAAAAGUGGGUAAUUUUUUUACACAGAUCUGUGUAAAAAGUUACACAGAUUUUCGAUCAGCCUUCCUUGCAAAUCUGGGUGAAAAAGAUAAGAUGGCGUUUUCCUGCAACAUUGAGGAAAUUUGACUUUUUUGACGAAAUGACCAGUUGUUGCAUCGUAAUUGAACUGGAAUUGGUCCCAUUGCAGAGAAAUGAUUACUCGAAAAUUUAUAAUGCUCCCGUUGAUCGUCUUGCAUGCACGCCGAUUCCGCCU